rnacentral:siRNA from 1 species
GCAGUGUUAUUCGUGGCGAUUG